rnacentral:tRNA from 1 species
AAAAUCCGUCGACUUUAUAAAUCGUGAGGGUUCAAGUCCCUCUAUCCCCAAAAAAGCUUG